ACAGGCUUUGGAGGCCCAUGUUUAGUGGAUUCCAGUCAGAAGUGCAGAGAAUAGCCGUCUUUGACACAGCUGUGGGUGUCUUGCUACGCCUUGCUGGAUCUUGAAAACCCCUGAAACCCACUCAAGGAGCCGAGGCCUUCUUAAUGGCACAGAAGUGGAACCUUCGUCUAUGAAGUGUGGAACUGUGGGUUGGUGUCACCGCUCCUCUGCUGGUGUAGAUCAGUUGGGAUGCCCAGUAUUGUGAAUGACAGUCCUGAGAGUCACUGCAGUCCUCAGGAGGGGAGGCUCUAUCUCAGAGGUCAGGUGAACUGAAGCUGAGAGAGGGUCGAGCAGCUUCGACACCCAGGACUGCACUGGAGAUGGGGCUGCCCUCCAAGAUGCCAGCGCAAGUCUGUGUGGCAGUGGGCAGAAGCAUGCGCUUGUGUGCACGGCAGCGUCAGUGUGUGAAUGAGUGAAUGUGUUUGAGUGUGUCUCCCAGUGCCUGGUGUGCGAGCACAAUGCCCCGCUGUUUUGCUGUGCCCUCCCUCACUGCUCCUCGUCAACCUCUGUCCCAGCCCUGCAUCCCCUCACAUCCAUCCGACCCAGGCAGCCAUUUUCUCCUCUUUUUUGACUUUGACUCACUUGUUCAUUUAUGAGAGCUUUCGCUUUUCUUCCACCCUCGUCUUGCCUUUUCAAUCUGUUUAUGGCUUUCAUUGAAGUUUUCGAGUGUAAGGAGUCAGUCCUUGUGCAGUCUCUUGUUCACUGUUCUGACUGAGAAAAUGAGGUCUAUUGGAUAUUUUUGUAUGGAUUCAUAAAUACAUAAAUAUAUUUCACAUACUAG